rnacentral:rRNA from 1 species
CCUACGGGUGGCAGCAGUAGGGAAUUUUCGUCAAUGGGCGCAACCCUGAACCAGCGAUGCCGCGUGAGUGAAGAAGGCCUUCGGGUCGUAAAGCUCUGUUGCCGGGGAAAAAAGGCAGCAUCACGAAAUGGGUGCUGACUGAUGGUGCCCCGCCAGCAAGUCACGGCUAACUACGUGCCAGCAGCCGCGGUAAUACGUAGGUGGCGAGCGUUAGCCGGAAUGAUUGGGCGGAAGGGGUGCGAAGGCGGUCAUGCAAGUCUGGAGUGAAACGCAUGAGCUCAACUCAUGGAUGGCUUUGGAAACUGGAGGACGGGAGAGCAGGAUAGGGCGGUGGAACUCCAUGUGUAGCGGUAAAAUGCGUAGAUAUAUGGAAGAACACCAGUGGCGAAGGCGGCCGCCUGGCCUGUUGCUGACGCUGAGGCACGAAAGCGUGGGGAGCAAAUAGGAUUAGAUACCCCAGUAGUC